GACGAACGCUGGCGGCGUGCUUAACACAUGCAAGUCGAACGGUAAGGCCCUUCGGGGUAUACGAGUGGCGAACGGGUGAGUAACACGUGGGUGAUCUGCCCUGCACUUCGGGAUAAGCCUGGGAAACUGGGUCUAAUACCGGAUAGGACCCUGGGAUGCAUGUCCUGGGGUGGAAAGCUUUUGCGGUGUGGGAUGGGCCCGCGGCCUAUCAGCUUGUUGGUGGGGUGAUGGCCUACCAAGGCGACGACGGGUAGCCGGCCUGAGAGGGUGACCGGCCACACUGGGACUGAGAUACGGCCCAGACUCCUACGGGAGGCAGCAGUGGGGAAUAUUGCACAAUGGGCGCAAGCCUGAUGCAGCGACGCCGCGUGAGGGAUGACGGCCUUCGGGUUGUAAACCUCUUUCAGUACCGACGAAGCGCAAGUGACGGUAGGUGCAGAAGAAGGACCGGCCAACUACGUGCCAGCAGCCGCGGUAA
rnacentral:rRNA from 1 species